AUUGCCUCGAUGGCGCGAAGACUGUGUACCUGGUGAAAGACAAAGUUAUACUGCCUAUGUCGGAGGUUAUUAUUUUAGCAAAGGUUACGGGAAUUCGGGAUAAAAAUCAUUUAGGGGUAAUAGAGUCGGAAAAUUUGAGUGUGCCGGGACUGACGACAAUGGAUGUAUUAGUCCGAACGAAAGGAAAAGGCAAGGUCCCUGUGCGAGUCAUGAACGUCACAACUAAUGCGGUUAAACUUCACAGACAAGAUCCAGUCGGUAAAUUUUUGCCGGCGACGGAAGAAACCGAAGAACACUUAAAUAAAGAAU
rnacentral:lncRNA from 1 species